AAACAUCGCCUCUUGAAUUUCUAUAAGAGGUCCAGCCUGCCCAGUGACUUUGUUCAACGGCCGCGGUAUCCUAACCGUGCGAAGGUAGCGUAAUCACUUGUCUUUUAAAUGGGGACUUGUAUGAAUGGCAUCACGAGGGUUAUACUGUCUCCUUUUUCUAAUCAGUGAAACUAAUCUUCCCGUGAAGAAGCGGGAAUGAUACUAUAAGACGAGAAGACCCUAUGGAGCUUUAAACUUAAUAACAAAUACUAACCCCAUUUUAACUUUCAGAACAUUAAUUUCAACUCUAGUACCAUGAUUAUUAGUUUUAGGUUGGGGUGACCGCGGAGUAAAAAUUAACCUCCACAUUGAACAGGACUUAUCCUUGAGCCAAGAGCUACAACCCUAAGCACCAACAAAUUGACAUUAAUUGACCCAAUAUUUUGAUCAACGAACCAAGUUACCCUAGGGAUAACAGCGCAAUCCACUUCAAGAGCUCCUAUCGACAAGUGGGUUUACGACCUCGAUGUUGGAUCAGGGUAUCCCAGUGGUGUAGCCGCUACUAAAGGUUCGUUUGUUCAACGAUUAAAACCCUACGUGAUCUGAGUUCAGACCGGA
rnacentral:rRNA from 1 species